UUUCCAGGGAGCACAUGCUGGACUACAAUUUUCCUGGAGGUGAGGAGAUGAAUUUGAGCUAUAUGUUUCCUUUUCAAGUAUUCAAGAAGCUAAUGAGUUUCUAAUUCAUCGUUUCUGCUAAUGCUAGCUAGGAAACCUAAAUCGUGGUCUCUCUGUUUUUGAUAACUACAAGCUGUUGAAAGGUGUCGAUAAUCCCAGUGAGGAGGUGUUCUUUGCCAGUACUCUCCACUGCUUCAGGCCUUCUUUCUUGUGCUUGAUGAUAUCAUGGAUGACUCUCACACUUGACGUGGCCAGCCUUUUUGGUUUAGAGUACCUCAGAAUAGGUUGGCUUCAUUGCUGUUAAUGAUGGGAUUAUCCUUCGUAACCAUUUUUUGAGAAUGCUUCGACUUCACUUUAAGAAGAAACCUUACUACGCUGAUCUCCUUGAUUUAUUGAACGAGGUUGUGUUCAAGACAGCUUCAGGUCAAACGCUGGACCUUAUCACAACUCACGAGGGAGAAAAAGAUCUAACAAAAAUAUAACAUACGAGUGUGGUUAAUAGUGUGAUAAUUUUUGGAGCAUAAGCCUUACUUUUGUGUCUAAUAUUUCUUGGUAGUAAUCGAUUUGACAUCAACUA